rfam:Stegodyphus mimosarum contig91713, whole genome shotgun sequence.
GCCUUCGUGGUGAAGUGGUCAGGAUGCUCAGCGCGUAUUCAAGAGGUCCGUGGUUCGAGUCCCGGCGAAGGCA